UAAGGAAUAUUGCGCAAUGGGCGAAAGCCUGACGCAGCAACGCCGCGUGCGGGAUGAAGGCCCUCGGGUUGUAAACCGCUUUCAGUAGGGAAGAAAAUGACGGUACCUACAGAAGAAGCCCCGGCCAACUACGUGCCAGCAGCCGCGGUAACACGUAGGGGGCAAGCGUUGUCCGGAUUCAUUGGGCGUAAAGAGCUCGUAGGCGGUUUUGUAAGUCGGAUGUGAAAACUCCAGGCUCAACUUGGAGACGCCAUUCGAUACUGCAAUGACUAGAGUCCAGUAGGGGAGUGUGGAAUUCCUGGUGUAGCGGUGAAAUGCGCAGAUAUCAGGAGGAACACCAGCGGCGAAGGCGGCACUCUGGGCUGGUACUGACGCUGAGGAGCGAAAGCGUGGGUAGCAA
rnacentral:rRNA from 1 species